UACGGAGGGGGCUAGCGUUGUUCGGAAUUACUGGGCGUAAAGCGCACGUAGGCGGCUUGGUAAGUUAGAGGUGAAAGCCUGGAGCUCAACUCCAGAAUUGCCUUUAAGACUGCCGAGCUAGCAGGUGAGAGAGGUGAGUGGAAUUCCGAGUGUAGAGGUGAAAUUCGUAGAUAUUCGGAAGAACACCAGUGGCGAAGGCGACUCACUGGCCCGAUACUGACGCUGAGGCGCGAAAGCGUGGGGAGCAAACAGG
rnacentral:rRNA from 1 species